rnacentral:lncRNA from 1 species
CGUAGUCAUUCCAACAUUUUCAAAUUAUGGUUGACAUGAAACGUAUAUAAAACUAGAUGAAAUAGACGUUUAAAUGUUUCUAAAAGUGACAUCUAGUCAUUCAUAAUAGAUUUACACAACUUGGAAAUUUUACUAGAAAGUUGAAAGCUUUUCAAAUCACAGAGCACUUGCCACUAUGCCAAACAGCCACAUGCCUUGAAUCAACCUGUGAGAUUAUAGUGGGGGGUGAGUACUACAAGAAAUACUUAGUAAGAAGGCACUAGAGUAAAUGAUAAAAUACAUAUAUGUUUUCAGAAGGCAAACUCUGGUCUUUUGUGUCAUCGUCAAUCUCUUUCUCUUAUUUGAACCAUCAAACAGUGCUUCCUUCAUGAGCAACACAAUAAUGUGUCACCUUCAAUCUCUUGCUCUUGUUUGAGCCACCAAACGGUGCCUCCUUCAUGAGUGACACAAUAAUACGUUUGAUGCAAAAGAAAACAAAUAAUUCUUAGACCACUUACAAAAGUACCGAUAACACGCACACCUCAAAUACUUAGAGUUUGAAUAUCCUUUCACGUCCAACAAGAAGUAAAAUGCAGCAUACUUUAGCCUUUUCUUCAGAAAAUUUCCAGAUUCAAAGGUCCUUGUUUCUAUGGAAAAAGGGCAAAAUAAUUUUUACGUAAGAGUAUAAUAGUUUGGAAGAGAAAAUGUGACUUUAGAGGUUAUUGGAGAUUUUGUUUUACAAAUGCAAGAUCAUAAUGUAGUUCACGUGUAUUUUGUACGGAAAUGGAGUUGUGAAAUUGUUUUUCGAGCACAAAAGAAUGAUGUCAAUUGCAGUAACCAAAUGGGAGUAAAAACAAAUGGUGAGUAGGAUAUUAAUUUUGUGCAUAAUGGUGGAGUUAUAAUAGUGUAGGUUACUUUCAAAUAAAAAGGCAACAGUUUCAUGGCAAUUGGAAUUAAUCACCAUGAGUUAAUGGAAUUUUUUUUAAAUCAAUUAUAAAGUAAACAAGGAAUUCAAAUG